rnacentral:rRNA from 1 species
GGGGGGGGGGGGGGGGGGGGGGGGGGGGGGGGGGGCGGGGGGGCGGGCGAGGGGCGGGCUGCUCGGACGGUGGCGGCGGCGGGGUGCGUGGCACGUGGAUACCCUACCUAUAAGACUGGGAUAACUUCGGGAAACCGGAGCUACUACCCGCUACUAUAUUGAACCGCAUGGCUCACUAGUUACAGACGGUUUUGCUGUCACUUCUCGAUGGAUCCGCGCCGCAGUAGCUAGUUGGUAAGGUAACGGCUUACCCAGGCGACGCUGCGUAGCCGACCUGAGAGGGUGAUAGGCAAAACUGGAACUGAGACACGGUCCAGACUCCUACGGGAGGAAGCAGUAGGGAAUCUUCCGCAAUGGGCGAAAGCUUGACGGAGCAACGCCGCGUGAGUGAUGAAGGUCUUCGGAUCGUAAAACUCUGUUAUUAGGGAAGAACAAAUGUGUAAGUAACUAUGCACGUCUUGACGGUACCUAAUCAGAAAGCCACGGCUAACUACGUG